rnacentral:lncRNA from 1 species
CCUUCACACUUUCUCCACUCUCAAACCUCAGCCUAGUGUUUAUCUCUUAUUACAAGUAGAGCUGUUUGGACCUGAUGUGGACCUGAAGGAUCUGAACUCCACUCUCAGUAGAGAGAGAUCAAGGACUGUACCCUUGUUUUCUCCUUAUAGAGAUUAUCUAGACAGGAUCUUCUACCCCAAAUGUCAGAGAGGCCAUGUUCCAGGUGCUCUGUAUAAUUUGUCUGGUUACCACAGGCCUUCCUCAAGCCCUCAAACUCCAAUGGUGAUGCCAUCUCCAGUAUACCAGCCUUGGGAUUAUGGCAUGUCUGGAUCUUCUGGACAGCUUCCUGGGAACCCAUCUCUGAUCAUGUCCAGUCAGGACUCACUGGUUCCCAGAUGGGACGCCUGGAAUGCCACCUAUCCAUUGCCAGUUCAACAUGUACUUCCAGCCUCUCUCCCUGGAGACAACUUUCAGCUGCCGUGGUCUUCUCGUGAUGAG